rnacentral:ncRNA from 1 species
UUGGUGCUCGUUAUUCUGUUAUUGAGUUACGGGUAAAAGGGAAUCGGGUGAGAAUCCCGGACAGACACCGCUGCUGUGAGCUUUGUUUAGGUUCUUAAUAUCAAUUGCCACUGUUUUAUAUGGGAAGGCGUUAAGAAUGAAGCGAGUCAGAAAACCUGCCAAUAUUUU